AUAUUUCCAAAAUUAUCUGAUGAAAUUUAUUUAAAAAUAUAUUUAAAAUAAAUUUCACAUAAAUGUGAGUAUCAUAUACCCUUUUUUAGCAUCGUUUAUUCUUAUUAAUUGAGAUUGAAUGCGUGGAAUGCUAAUCAUUACAGUUCAUGAGAUCGAGCCAUACCUUAACUUUUCUUUUCUUACAUAUAAACAAAUUUCCUUCCACACCAAAAAUUUUAUGAAUAUGAAAUAUACCUGUAAUAUUUUAUUAUUUUUUAAAAAAAUUAUUCAGUAUUAUAAGGUAUAGAUAUUUUCUCAUAAUUAUGUAAGUGAGGUUUAUUCUCCACGUUAUUAUAUUUUGUGAGAAAGGCACCAUUUUUUUUUAAAAGAAAAAUUUAAGGAAUGAAUGAAAAACCGAACGGCUCUAUGAUCAAUCCCCUUGUCACUUCUCGCUCAGAUAGCAGCAGAAAUGGCCGAACCUAAUUGGCAAAGCUUUCGCGAGACGAGGGUUCAGUAUCCAGUAAUGCUGCUAUUGUUUACUUUUCUUAACCUAAAUUAGAUUACUAUUUUGAUUAUGGCCUGCUUUGAUUACUUCCAGCAAUGUUCAAAUUCUCUAUGCUUUCCUUAUUUUCUUUCAACCGUGAGACUGUAAUCAACUUUUCUUUUGCUACAUUACUAAGAAGCUUAACGGAAAUCGUGAACGAUAUAUACUACUGUGGGUUGGAUUUUUCAGUUGGCUUUUGUGUCUACUGUUGAAUUGGGUUAUGUUGAGUAUUAUUCUUUUCUUUUUGGAGUUUAUGCAAUAUUAGAAUUGAUUAAAUGCCUCCUGAAUUAAUCAAUUCUAGAGUUGUUGUUAGUUGCGUAUUUAUCUCCAUUUAGUUUGUGCUAAGCUAAGCUGAUUUCAAGUCACUGUGGUUAAGGAUUGUCAUGUAUAAUCACUUCAGAACUUGGUCUGACUAUAGAGAUUACACUUUAGGGUACUUGGUAGCAAUAUGCAGCUUUCCUCGCAUUAGUCAUUCUAGCUCUGCUUAGCUAGGAAGAUGGGUGAAUUAAAUGUUCAAAUUGUGAAUUCCUCAAAACAAUAUAUUAUUUUCUGGGGAAUUAUGGCCAAUUUCUUAUUUGUGAAGCAUGUUAAUAACUCACCAGUAAUUAGAUAAGCUUCUUUUUCAUUUCAUGGAAUGAUUUCAACCAAAACAUGCAAUUGCUUCAAUAUUAUCUUGUCUGGAUAAUUGUUAGGAAAUUAGAACCACUGCAUACAUGUAUUUUUGUGAUAUAGUUUGACCACAUGACAUUCUGGGGUUUUGCUAGGGACAGAUUAUUAAUUGAUCCAUUCUUGAUUCUGAAAGGUGUAUUUUCGUAGAUGCUAUGUUGCUUAUACUAUUGUGAUUCACUUGUAAAUUGAUUUCAUGUUCUUACGUUGCUGAUGUUCAGUCAAUUAGAUCAUGACUUCACAUGCUUCUGGAAGAAACAUUAUUUGUUCAUCCUCAUUACUGUGGCAAUUAUUUCCAUUUUUUUUCCAUUUUUAUGCAUAUUUUUGGUGACAAGUAAAACAUUAUGUUGUAGACUAAUAAUCUAGCAUUUUUAUAGUUGUUUGUGGACUAUGCACUUCAUAUUUGGAUUUGUACAAGUUACUUACUAUAUAUAUCAGAUUACAGUAUUUAUCUGGUCAUUGACUUACUCUUCUUUGUUGAAGUAUUGUUCUAGUUACCAGGAAAUAUGAACCCCACAACCACCACACCAACCGCCCCCGCCCCGCCCCGCCCCUCCCCGCCCCCCCCGGGCUCUCCCUCCUCCCUCUCUUCUUUCUCUUUCCUUUGGCAAUGCAUUGACAAUUUGCUUGAGAACUUAUACAGUGAAUUGAGAAGCUUAGUGAUGUAGACAUUUGCAUUUGGAGUGCCCUCAAAUCAUAGCUGAAGCACAUUGUCAAAGCCAAAAAUUGCCUAAUUACAUGGUCUUUUUCUCAAAAUUGUUGGAUAAGUCACCAAAACUCAUGUCUGUUUGGCAUGUUAUGUUUGUAAUUUGAUUAUUCAUUUUACAAUUUGUUUUAGCAUCAUAUGGUAUUUCUCUUGAUAUUUUGCCAGUUGCACUCUUGUGGCAAAAUGUCACCUCAAAAAUGUUAUCUUUAAAAUUCAUUACCUCAGUGGAUUAUGCAAUUGAGAUGUGUGAUGAGGUGAAUGCAGAAGAAAUACCUUCUUGAAAUUAGAAACCCUCUGUGAAGGACCCUCCAAAUGAUUCUCUGCUGUUGAAGGGUAAAUUAUUUCUUUUCUCUGAAGUUAUCGAUGCUUGUAUUAUGAGGUGAUAAGAAUUGGCUGCUUUUCUUUAGUUGGGUGGACAACUGUAAAAUAAAAUAAAAUAAAAAGAAGCAACACAAAGAUAAAUUGGCUAUCAAGUUUUUCUAUCUGGUUGCAUAAUUACACUUUCUCUAGUUUUCUACUGUUAUUUCUCAAUGUUGUUGCUUUAUUAAAGCUUAUAAGUUCUCACCAUGCAAGCACUCACAUGGAGAGGAUCUCAUCAGAGUUAUUGUAAGUGUAUUGUUAUUGAUAUCAGCAAAUGGAAAAUUAACAACUUCAAGCAAUACAAUAGAAAUUUGAUAAAAAAUGAUUGCAGCACAACUUCACUAAAAAGGUAAGUACCAUUUAUUAAGGAAUCAAGAACAGAGUGUUUGUGGUUCUUGUCAACUGUACCAUAAGAAUGUUUCAACACCAAAGUCUGCUUAUGAAGUUUCUUUAUUACUUAAUCUUCUGGUGGAUCUGUCUUCAAAGUUUACAUCUGCAUGGCAUCAUUAGACUAAAGUUGUAAUGUUUGCAACAUGCUUUAAUACCUUGUCUUUUAUAUCUUGAUACAUUCUGCGAUGGAGAUUUUUAUGUGUUGAUAUGCCUUGUUAAAGCACAGAAAAUUCUUUGUUGAAGGAUCCAAAGAUUCUUUGCAAUUAAAGGGUAAAUGCUUUCUUUCUAGAAACAAUUUAGGGACGCUCUUGUCAUAAAAUGAUGAGGAAUAACCUUUUGCCCUUAAAAGGGGUUCAUAACUGUUUGUAAAAGGAGAGAAGACAGAUAAUGGUUGUCAAUUUGAUAUUUGGUAGAGCAUCUCGUAAUAUGAUAGUGAAUGAAAUCAUUUGUCAUUUACAUGGAAAAGGAUAAAAAAAAAAAUUAUGACUAUAUUUUAACAUGAUGAUGGGCUACAUAGUGAAUAAGUGAUUCUGAGCUUAUCAAUAAGACAGCUUGGAGACUGGUUGAUCACAUGGUGUUUAUUGUGCAUGUCAAACCACGGGAUCUAAUGAUUGUGAUUAGAGUGAACACAAUUAGCAGAUUGGGAUGAAUGAUUUAGUUCCUUUUAUUAAAAUAAGACAUCAACUUAGCAGAAAAGAUAAAUGGAAGUGAUUGGGUAAGAAGUAACUUAAUUCACCUCUGUAUCUUGUUAUCUAAUUGGUUAUGGAUUCAAGCUUAAGACAGAAAGAAGAAUCUAAUGACGUGGGUUUGUAUAAACAUCUGAAAUUUAAAAGAGAAUUGAAGUUACAAUAAAUGAAUAGUGACAUUUUACUGUAUAUGCAUGUGAAUGCUGAGUAAUUCAAUGCAUGUUUGUGUACUUAUAGUAACUGUAUAAUGUAUUCACUAUCAUAUAAGUUUCUUUAUAAAUAGUAUUGUGAUGCAUGCUACCUACUCUCUCUCUCAAAUUGAUUUCUGUGUAGAUAUCCUUGAUGGGACUGUUAUUGUGCUAUGGUAAAAGUCUGGGUGUUGCAUCCUUAUGGUGCAAGUUCAAGUAAGUGUUGUAACUGACUUGUCUGUAAAUUAUUCUCAAAAUACUUAAAUUGAUUAUAAUUGUUUUAUUCUCCUUACAUCAGUGUUAAAGAGAUGGAUUAUCUCCAAAUUACCCUUUCUAGGACACCGGUUUGAUGAGAUCAUAGAUAGGCAUGCGUAUUGAUUUGUAUUAUAUGAUAUUUCCAUAAAUUAGAAGCAGAAUGGAAAUAUAGAAAAUAGGGCUGAAUAGAUACCUUAUUCGUUGACCAUUCUAAAAGAUGCUAGUAUUCUGGUAAGAUGGGCAAGUUGAAGAGGCUGGUGCCUGACUUGGAUGAGGCCAGUUGACAGUUCUAUAUAUGUGGUAGGAUGUCGUAAUUGAUGGCUUAAGGACCUGUCAUUAUCAUCUCAUUUUUGUCACAAUUGGCCAACUUUCUUAUUUUUAAUUUCUCUCUUUGUUUCUCUGUCGCCAAAAUUGACGUGUGUACAGGUAUCGUUGAUGGGACUGUUGCUUGGUGGUAAAAGUCUGGGUGCUGCAAACUUGUUGGUGCAAGUUCAAGUAUUGAGUGCAAUCACUGAAUUUGCCUCUAAAUUCUUCCUGAAAUACUAUAAACAGUAGAUGCAGAAAUUUGGGGUUUUCGCCGAUGUACUUUGAACCUGGCAUGAGCCUAUGCCUGAAAGGAAGAUGAUCCACCAUCCCUUCCCUUGCAAAUGUGGAGAGAGAACUUAGUAAGUUGAAUUAAAGCUGCCACUUGCACUAUAGAUAUGAACUGUUGAUUGUGGUAAUGUUUCUGCCCAAGGUGAAAAAUUUUUUCAGGGAUGUUGCACAGUGUGCUUCAGCAUAUAAGAUGUGACAUGUGACUACCAUAAUGAUUCCCAAAUGCCCAUUGAGCAAGAUUGAGCUUCAGCAGUCUUCAGAAUAUAAAAUCACAACAAAAGGAAAGCUCUGUGCUAAUCUGCACCAGUCUGAUUUGAUUAAAAUGGCUUACAAAUUGAGAGAUAGAAGCACACAGAAUCAUCUCAAGUAGGUGGGCUACUCAAACAAGGAUAAUCCUCUAGAAGAGUAAAGGGUCACAUAUUUUUCAUACCUUAGCUGGGAAUUCCUGUUAUAUACCAUUAUAAUUUCAAGGAAGCUGCAAGGAGUGGAAAAAUUAUAGGCAUGAAUGUGGAAAAUAAGUGUGUUGAAUAUUAAUCUAGUAGUACUGGCCGACUUAACACUGACAUAGGACCAGCAGAGAGAAGAGGCGAAGCAAGUAGGCAAAAAUUGUUAAUCAUAUCAUCAUUAUUGAUGCUA